GCAGGAGGAAAAUGUAUUAUUUUAAUAAAAAGAUAAUAUAUAUAUACGCAGCAAGUGUGCCGGGCACGUGUUUUCUUUCAUCCCGAUUGUCGCCCCCAGCAGGACGUACGUACAGAUAUAUACGUUUUUUCCAGCUGGUCCAUGUGCGUGCGCUUUAUAUAUAUAUUAUAAUAAUAGAAUAGAAUAUAAUGUACGAUGUGAUAUAUUGCGCAAAGAUAUAUUACAUUACAAACGAAAUUCCUCAGUUAAAGGUGCGCGUGCACUUUGUGUGGACGACGGCGAACGGCUGACACGCGUAUAGGUACGACGUUGUUUUCGAAAAAGAUGACGACGAGGUUUAUAAUAUAUUGUAUAGGUAGUAGUAUAUGGUUAUAUUCCAAACGCGACAUAUCGCGCCAAAAAAGAUUCGAUGUCGAUAUCGUCAUGACAUCGUAGUAUAUCAUUAUUUUGGAACCCGAGGUUAGCUGCGCAGAAAAAUUUCUCACGACGUAGUUGUACCAGCUAUAGCUAUAUGAAAUGAAAAUAAAAAGACGAUCACACCACCUUGUUCUGUCGCAGUCUUACAAACGCUCAACACAUAUAGCACAUUUUGAAAAUUCGAUCGAAAUCGACCCCGUGUGUCGUCAAUUAUGUGAAUUUACCAAACCCAAAGGUAGUUACAAUACUAUGAGGAGGUCCGACGACGACGUUACGAUGGGAUGAAGUAUCGACAGGAUCCGCUAAAAUACAAAGUGUGACAUUUAUACGAAUAUUUAAACUAAUGUGAUUUGUUGUUAAUGUAUUUUAAUCGGACCAUCCAAAACGCACAAUGUGACUCAACAAGCGCCGGAUUUCUACAGAUAAUUAGGUGCAUUAUUAUAGUGAAGCUAUUAGAAAUCGCUACGAGAAACCAAACGGUUUUCCUGUGGUAUAAUUUCUCGUUUUCGUUAGUAAAACACGUUCUCUGUAUGUAAAUGAUUAUGAUUUUACGAUCCUCGCGUGCGGUUAACGUGAAACGACGACGAAGACGACAUCAAUAUAAUAUAGAAGCAUGGUGUGAUCGUCACACACGACACAUUAUAAUAAUAUCUAAGACGACGAAUGUAUUAAUAAGUAUAUUGUAUAUGGUAUUAUUGUAGAUAAUCGGCGGUCAGUGACCGGAAUAGACAAAAUUCGAAUACGCGCUAAUAUAAUAUAGGCUUCAGUCGGACCGGGAAGACGUGUGCCGCCGAGAGAAUUGGUGCUGGCGACGGCGGCGGCGGCGGUGGCAAACGGUCGUCGCGGAAACGGAAACGAUCAGAGACGGCGGCGGUAGCGAAGCGCGCUUUGAAUAUUUGAUUGGGCCGAAACUUCCGAAAUCGGUUGACCACGAAAAUCGGAAACACGGCGGGUCCGGUAGCCCGACAUCCGGCAAUGUACGCAGUCGUGUGAUGGAGGUACACGAUCGCCACGUAUCGACAGAAAAUAAAAUGACGACGAGCCGCUGAAACAGCACGGCUGGUAAACGCGUGGCAGCGGGUGUACGCCGCGGACGAAUGGUAUAAAACCGUAUUUUUGGGGGGCCACGGUGAAUCUGCUGGGCAUCAGGUAACGCGUGUAAGAUUGACGGCGUGAUCAGCGGCGGCGGCGGCGGAGGAGGAUCGUUGGAAACAGCAGCCCGUCGGCCCGUCAGAAACAGCAGCGGCCACGGACAGAACGCCGAGCAAAGCAGCUGUUGCGUGCACCUGGUGCCCAGGACGAUGACGACGUCGACAACGACUACGGAGACGACGACGGAGACGGCGAAGAGACCUCGCGGGCCUUAACACACAGACACGUUUGGAUGAGGAGACGGCAGCUGGUCCGUCAGCAUGAACAUUAAUAUAUACAAACGCAUGCACACACAAGCCCGAGGAAGACAGUCGCGGGGCACAGACACACGCACACACACACACACGAACAUCAUACGAAUAAAAGAUUUCAACUCACGAUAAAGACAUCUAACUGUGUGCGGGUAGGAGGACGGAACUAAACGGGAAUAACGAGCUACAAAUAAUAAAUAUAAUCUACCAGAACCUAUGCAUACAGGGUGGCUCGGUCACUAUUGUAACCGCGGUUCCCCGUUUCCUAUUGCAUUAUUCAUAUAAGAGAAAACGGGAAAACGUCCGCAGUGGGCCACCGCAUACCCGUAUGAAAAAAUGUCGAUCCAAAUUACUCCGUCAACAAAAAUUCGAAUGAAACACGCAGAAAUGCAUUAAUUCCACAGUUUUGUUAAUAAUUAAAAAUAUAGGUAGGUAUAUAUACAUAAUGUAUUUUAUGUAUACUAGGCAGAAACACUUGUUACAUAUGGUACGAUAGGUUUAAACCAUUAUUAUAUAAUAUCAUAAAAAAUAAAACUUUAUGCGUUUGUUUACAAGUCUAGAUGAUGGUGUGUUCUCCGCACAAGCGAUGCAGUCUCCAAAACCAUAUAAUAUUUUUCGAGGUCACUAUUUCUUUUGUGUUUGUUUUGAAGUUUGGAAAGUUUUACGCCCCGAACAUAUAAGAUAACACGAUGACUGAUGAUGAGAGCUGUGUCUCGUGAAACGGCUGUGACGUAAUUGAGGGGGCGAUGGAUGUAUAUGCCCCCCACGCUUUGUGAACGGAUCUCAGGUUUUUAGUUGCAGGACCCAAUAAGAAUCGUUAAUUUUGAGGAUUUUCAAAAAACAUUAUACGAGUCGCCGCGUAAAUAGAAAACCUUCUAUAAGGGUGGAAGACACGGUCGCUUCAAGGAUUCGAGUUUUCAAAAAAAUCGAGAAAAAACAAAAAAAGAAGUGACGGAAAAAUGGGAAUUUUUAUGCAAAACCAGUUUUUGAUAAAAUCGAUUGUAACUCAAAAAGGAAUCACUGUUAUAUUAUCACGGUUACGGUAUACAAGCAUUUCACGUCUCGACAUACAGAUAGCGUUACAUUGUCAUAAUAUAAAUAAUAAAUUCAUGAUAAUAAUAAAUAUUAUCAUGAAUUAUAUAUAGUAAUAGCGCAGAAUAGAAUAAUAGCCUGUUAUAGUAAUACAGUGAAAUCUGUGUAAUAUGGAAACGGUGGUGACCGGAUAUUUUUUCCAUUUAAUACAGGUAUUAUGGACAUGAUAACAAAUUAAACUUUAUAUCUUUCUCAGUUUUCAAUAAGUCUUAUUAUUAUUUAUGUUUUUGUGCAUACAUUUUGUUUAAAUAUAUAUUCAAUUUAGUCAAAUGUGAACAUUAUAUUGCCGAUACACACUUUUUAUAAUAAAUAAUUAUAAAUGUCAUUCAUUAAAAAUCAACGUGGAUACAACGAUAAGAACAUGUGUAAAUAUUAAAAAAUUGUUGAACACAGUAUUUGCAGAUAUGUGUUCGGCGUAUGCACACAAUAUGAUGUACAUCAAAAGGGUAGUUUGCAUCGCUUGGUUGCAUAAAAGGGUUGUUUUCACAAAAACCAAAAUAUGAUCACCAGUCAACCGUCUUAUUGCAGGUUUCGAGGCGUUGAGGAUUAGAAAAAAGAAACCACACACAUACACGCUCUACCGCCUAUACCACAUAUAUUAUAUAAAGCAUAUACAUAUACCCAUUUAUCAUGAAUUAUCCUAUAGGAGAUAUCUAAAGGUGUGAUAUAUGUCUUCUUAAGCAUUGUCCAGUACGUUAACGCAUCGGUGAAGCUUUUCGGAAGUUUCACACUUCACGCGACGAUAUUCAGCUGCGCAUCGGCCGGGAUUUAAUAUACAAGCAGGCCGCGAUUGAUCGAUUUUUUUCAAGUUAUUUUAAUCUAACAUUCUAUCAACUUGUAUUUUGUGAUUUGUGAGUUUCAACAGUGUUUAUGCACAAAAAGAUGUGUGGAAAUCAUUAUUUUCAACAGAAAAAAUUAAGAAAAUUUAGAUUUUUAUUUUUAAAUAGAGGUUUUACACACCUGAUAUUAACAUUUUUCUAUUAUUUUUCAUUUCACAACAUUUUAAGUACGGAAAAAUACUUAAAGAAUUCCACGAAUUGAAGAAUUGGUUUGUUGAAAGAGUGACCUGCGAGUUUCAAAACUGUACAUUCAUAAAAUCUGACAAAAAGCUUCAUACUUAUUAUUCUUAAUAAUUGUCGAACACAUACAUAACCCAUUUUUAUUAUUAUCAUAGUAACCAACAUUAAAAAGAAAAUAACUAAAAGAAUAAACUACUGUUAUGAGUAUAGAAAAUAUGUAAAAGUAUCAUUUAGCUACAACGUUCGAACAACUAAAUUAGAAAAUCUUGGAUAGAUGACUAGCGUAAUGGAACCAUCAAUAAUUAAGGAUAUAGAUGCCUAUUUUUUUAUAAACUUUAAAAUGUAAGUAUGUAACUCUAUCAAAUUAGAGAAAUACAUUUUAAAUUCAUUGUCUUUGAAACAGAAUAAACACGAGUAUAAUAGGUAUUUUAAUAAUAAUAUACAAUAUACUACUUUCAAAAUAUUCUUUUAUUUUCAGUCGUGUGCUUGAAUUUUCUUUUAUAUUUCAUAAUAAAGUUCAAAACUUUAUUGAUUACUAUAACUAUAUUUUGUACAUUUUUGGACUAAUUGUUACAAAUAUACGUAUGAUGCAAUUUUAAAAUCAACAUAAUAAAUACCUAAUAGAAACGAUAAGAUAUUAAAUAUAUAUUUUAUACCACGUAUAGUUGGAUUUUGCAUUGUCAUAGGUAUUUACUUAGAGACGAGUAGAAGUGUUGAAUAGAAAUAAAACUACUUUAGUUUACAUAUUAUACGUCUAAACACACAAAUAAAUGGUCUCUACAACUAUGUUUUUAAAUCAUUUAUUGAUAUAUUACAAAGUAAAAUAAAAUUGCAGGAAAUACUGGAGUUCAAAAUGAUAACUGUUGUCAAUUACUACGUCAUAUUUAUACUUGUUUUGUAAAUUAAUAAUUAAUUUUUUUUUUUAACUUUUAUUUUUAAAGCUUACAUAUAAUUAAUAAACAAUUUUAUAUUUCAUGACAUUUGUUCAAACACUCAUAUUAUGUAGAUAUGCAGUAUACCUAUGAAUUGGCUAUUAUACAUGGGCACCAAGGUACUAACUACUGAUAAUAGUACCUUACAUGUUCAAAUUAUGACGCAAAUGUCAGUUUAUACAAUUUUAAGCUACUUAAAUUAAAGUUUACGCUUACAAUAAUUAGCUACAGAAAUGAACUAAUUGGUCGAAAAUCGAGACCCAUACACGGCUAUUAUACAUAUAUUAUCGUAAUUCGAUGCUUUGAAUAAACAGUCGGUAGGUAAUACGUCAUAAACUAAGUAUAUGUAUACUUACGCGGGCGUACACCUAAAUAUACGACAUUAUACGAGGCACGUGCUAAAUACAUUUCUCGGUCUCUCGCUCUGUUGUUCGACGUAAUGCCGCGAAAAACGAUAUAUAAUAGAAAACUGGGCACACAUCUUUACACGAUUGCGGCUCCAUUCCUUUGAAUCGUACCGACACGGUUUUUGCACAUGCUCGUUGAUUACAGACCGCCACCGUUGCCGACGCCGCCGCCGACGCUGCCGCCAGCGGCUAAGAUCUGACCUUUUUGCGUGGAUACCGCCUCUGGAGCCAGCUGAAAAAAAAAUUUGUUCAACAACAACAAUCCGAGCGGCCCUUUGGGUCGUACGAUAUGUACCAACUACCGAGAUACAGGACAACGCCGUAGCUGGAACAAAUUGAACAAAUUUUCGUGGGGAGGAGAGAAGUGCCGAUGGUACCGAGGUAGCUGCUAUCGCUAUUCGUCGUUCCGUAACUCACACGACGAAAAUAUUAGCGAGCGGCCACAAAGUUGAGCGAAAAAAUCUCAGUAUAUGCGAUUAAAACCCGUGGUGCUUAUUUUUGUUUAGAGAUUUUGUCUGUAAUUUAAAAUUCAUAAAAUUUAAUAGGUAUAAUUACAUUAUAUCCAUCGAAUUCGUCAAAAUCUAUAUGUACAUGUAUAAUAAAUAAUAAUAGUUAAAUUCGUUUUAGUGUUGCUUAAUGCUGGUUUAUGUACGGCAGGGAUGGCAAAGAUCUGUAAAACUCAGAUUUCAAUGGAAAUUCUAGUCAUUUGUAAUGUUCCUCACACUGCUAUGCAUGUAUUGAGUAUUCCCAAUAUUGAUUUUUAAACGAUAUAUGAAUUCUAUGUGUGUGUGUGUGUACUACAAAUAUUCGAAAAAUGUUUUUCUAUUUUCAACUUUGAGGGUGGUUUCUGGUAGAAAAUUGGACUUAAUUUGUACUUUAAAUAGGUACAAAUUAAAUAUUCACAGUAUUUUUCAAAAUAAUUGAGAAAAACAAACGAAAAUUUAAGUAAAACAUAAAACAUAAAACCAAAUUUUGACAAAGUCUAUUUAAUUUUUUUAGCCUAUCUUACACAAAACUAAUAAUGACAGACCGUCUCCGUUCAGGAUUGUUUUUUUGUUUAUAAUGAUGUAUUAUUGAAUUCAAAUUUAACUUAUCCAUUAUAAGAAAUUUACUCGACACCUAUUGUACAGUUUCCACCUUUUUUAAUUAUAUAUAUUUUCGAUGCCAUAUAUUGUGAAUAAUAUGUAUAAAAAAUAUUAUGCGUUUGGUACCUAUAGUAUAUUAUGUUACAAGCAAUUUAAAUUUAUGUUGCCUACUGUAUAGUCAAAAAUAACUAUAAUUAAUAUUAUUACGAUUUUAUUUUGUUUUUUAUGUUUAAUUAUACCAUAUUAUAAUAUAAUACACACUGUUGAUUUUUACCGUUCAUGUUCAAUUUAUGGUCUGACGGGGAUGAUAUAUUUUUUGUUGCCUACGGGCACAUAUACAUUAUAAUAUUAAUGAUAUGUGUGCUUAUUGGUGAGCCUCUAAAUACAACUCCGGUUCAAAUGUUUCAUAUUAUGAAUAAUAAUUUUAAUUUAAUAGUUAUCUUAAGGAAAUAAAAUAUUAACUACUGUUAUUUCGGUGAAUGAAAUCGAGAUAAAACAAUUUACGAAUGAAUACCGAUGUAAUAAUAUUAUAAUGUAGUGAUAUUUUAUGUAAGAUACUAAAUUAUAUAAAUAAUCGAACUGAGCUGCUACACAUCUUUUUAAGUAUAAUAGUUCAUAGCCUGCGGUAUUACGAUUAAAAUCAUUUCGAUUUGUCUUUCGAACAACAUAAUAUACAAUUAUAAUAAAUCCUUCGUUUAAAAACGACUAUAGCUACUAUACGAUUAUAUUAUAUAGGUAACAGCACCGUUUAACGUUUUUUACUUUUCGAUUUUAGAGCUAUUAUAGGCGUUAUCAAUUUUUUUCUUUUUAUAAUCAUUACUAAAAAAAUUAUUCGAUGGGUCAAAAAUCAAAAUUCUUGAAAAUUUAUUACAUAUACAAGUUCCU